AACACCCCUGUGUUCAAUCCCAGGACCAAAAUAAAUAAAUGAAGGAACUUGGAUGUCUGAAUGGGGGUUUUUUAACUGAGUGGAUAUGGGGAGUCCUUGACGAUUUUUAAGCUGGAGAGACCUAACAUGGGCUCUCUUCACCUCUACCACCCCCACCCCCCACCGUCAAGGUGUUUCUAUUCUCCAACUUGACCUACAGAAUAUGUAGGAAGAAUUGGAAGCAGUAAAAGGGGACAUAAGAGAAAUGUGUGAAGUAAUUUUUACAACAGCCUCUGUGGAAAUAAUGACAGGCUGAACCUGGAAGAUGGGGAGAAAACGGAAAGAAGAAACUGUCCAGAAGGAUGCAUGGUAGAAGCACCUGCCUCUUGGAAUAGAUUCCCUCUCCAGAGAUACAGCCCCAAAGUCAAGGGUUUCACCUUUUAAUGGGAGCAGUGACUUUGAUCACAUCCUGCCAUCUGAAAAAGAAUGAUGCCUUGGUUUUGGGAUUUCAUGACCCUCCUACAAGUUGCAACAAAUUGAGCUGAAGGGUCAGAGCAGCCAUAAGUUUCCGGGAAUCUGGCUCCUUCUGGCUCAUCCUCCUUGUCCUGAGAAAGCAAAGCAUUGGGUAGGUUAUCUCCUCCAGGCUCCAAGCAAGUACCAGGUACCCCAUGGGGCAUUUUACCAACCUCACAACUCCCUUAUAAAAUUGUAGCUGCCCUGGUAUCAUUUUGGAGUACUUAUAUGUUUAAAAGUAAAGG
rnacentral:lncRNA from 1 species